UACGUAGGCGGAAAAUUAAGUCAGUAGUGAAAUCCUGCAGCUUAACUGUAGAACUGUUAUUGAUACUGGUUUUCUUGAAUAUAGUUGAGGUAGGCGGAAUGUGUAAUGUAGCGGUGAAACGCUUAGAUAUUACACAGAACACCGAUUGCGAAGGCAGCUUACUAAGCUAUGAUUGACGCUGAGGUACGAAAGCGUGGGGAGCGAACAGGAUUAGAUACCCUGGUAGUCC
rnacentral:rRNA from 1 species